rnacentral:lncRNA from 1 species
GUGAUUCAGUUAAAAACUGAAUUAACUGAAAUCAAUUCAACAACAACUGCCCCGGUGCUUCCCCGUAGAUAGCACCGCUGUUGUUUCAGGAACACAGUCAUCCCUCAGAAAUGGAUUGGGUGACAAGUGGUCUGCAUGCUGCACACGGGCACUGGGUCUCUGAAUGUAACCAAAUUGUUCUCCUCUUAUCAUUCCCAUUCACUGGUGUACUUGUUUGUGGAGCCUGCAGAACUGCCUUUUUCAAGAAUGCUUAAGGCUAAUUUAAAAGGAUGGUGAGGAGAUUCUAUUUUCAACUGGCUGAAGUUCAAUAAGAAUAAAAUAAAACACUGUUGUAGCAAACUCUUUCACAGUGGAAGUUUGGCAAAGCUAAAUCUCAUUCCUUUCGAUGUGCUCCAGUACAGCCAAAAUACUGUUCCAGUGAGUAAGACACCCAUUAGAGUGAUGAGCUUCCUACAGAACAAGAAUCUCUCCAUAUUUUAUUUUAAACCAAACCAGUGUUGCAUUGCUUUGUAUUAAGAAUCCAAAAGGAAAUAUUGUGUAAUACAAUCAGUAAAAAACCUACAGUUUCGUUACAGUUAUAUUUUUAUCAUUGGCCUGCGUUUUCCUAAUUUCAGAAGUAUACGUGAUCAUUUUAGAUACAGGAAAUGACUUCUUUUAAUUUUUCUUGUAGUGAAAGUUUUACAAUUCUUUAGUCAAGCCUACUGAUUAGCUUAAAAACCCUAAUAAAAGGAGUGACCACACAUACAUCUCUGUAGGUAUAAAUCAAGGUUGGGAAAUUUUAAAGGUGCAUUUCUUUUUCUUCCUUUUUUUUUUCUUUAACCCUAUGUCUUCUAGGCAGCUUGGCCUCUAAAUCUGCUUCCCACUGAUGGGAAGAGCUGACAGAAGCUUUAGAGAGGCACAGGGUGAGUUCCUAAAACCAGAGUCAACACACACUCUUCAUCUGUUUUGUGCUUCACUCCCUGCUCAUCUUCCUAAAACACUGAGUUUGGUCAUAUCAUGUCCUACAAGUUGUCAAUGAUUUCCCAUGAUCUUGUCUUCAGGAUAAAGUUCCUUAGUCAAAAGCAAUGAAGACCUGACCUAAUCUGUAAGGCAAAAUCAACACUUUUUAGCCUGGCCUUCCAUGCCCUUCCAUGCCCUUCGAGCCCCCAGAGCACCCAUGGCAGUCCAUCUCUCUCUACUUGUCCAGAGGGACACUCUCUUAGAGCCAGUGGCUCCUACUCACGGUUCCCCGAACACGUCGUGGGAAUGUUUGCCUUCAUACCUUCCCAGAUCAUUUUCCUGAUCUCAGACACCCUCCGUCCUCAUUCAUUCACUCUUCAAUUGUCCAACAAAUAUUUGUUGCUCAUGCAACCUGGAUCACCCACAUAGUUUCAAGACUGCAUCUUCUAAACUAUUUAAAUCCUAUCCAUUCUUCAAGAAAUGUUUCAUGACGCUUCCUUAACUGCUAAGGACCCGCAGAUUCUCUUCCUCUUGGGACUCACACACUGACUCAUCUCCCGAUCUUUUGGUGCUCAGCAAAGUGGAGGCUUCUGUUUUGGACUUAGAGUCAAGACCAUUAAAUAAGACUAUGCUCUAAAAAGUACACCUCCGUGGCCCGGAACGAGUGAAUUAACAUCUAUGAGUUUCCAUUUCCUUGUCUAUAAAAUUGUGAAAUUGCAACUUAAGAUUAGUUCUGAAGAUUAAAUGAGGUAACAUAGGUGAAAAUGCUACAUUUAUGUAAGAAAUUACUCUUUCAUAAGGAUGUCAAUGUUUAAAUACGCAUUUUCUCAAUUUUGUUAAUGAAAUACUUUGAAAUUCUUUUUUCUAAUGAAACCUGCUGAAUGUAAAAGAGACCCGUACUAAAGAAAGAUACCACAUGAAGCACCAAGGGUCUCUUUCUGGAUCUAUCAUGACUCUUGUGACUGUUUCAGCAGCACAGAAAUUAAAGGCGAUUGUUAUUCUGGAGGAAGACAAUGAGUCUCAUCUAUAUCUUGUUUGGGUUGAUUUUGUAAACAGAACAUUCCAAAGAUCAUUCUUGCCUUUUGUUUCCACUGAGAACUAGAAUAAAGUAAAACAAACUAUCAAUUUAAGGAAAGCCUCGAAAUUGUUAGCAAUUUCUUCAGUAACUUUCAUCCAUCAACUGAUUUUAUGAACACAAAUUUGCAGAAAUGGGCAAGAAAAACUACUUAACUCAUUGGUGGGAAGCAGUGGGCUCUCUAAGGAGGGAGAGAUAGCAGUGAUUUCACCACCGGACCGUGGAACACAAAGAGCCUGGAAGAGUCUAUCACUUUCAACUGAAACCGCAAGAAGAACUAAGUAGGUUAAGCCCUAAGAAUGUUCCUAGGUAACCUACUUGAGUUGAAAUUUGACUAAGAAUCCUUACACCCUACCUAAGAGAGGUAACGCUAUUAGGAUCGGAAGUGAUUGGAAGCUUUGUUUCAGAUCUCGUCCAAAAGGGAGAACGGUCAAUGACAAAGCUGCUGUGAAUAGUAUUCUGGGGGCGUGGUGGAACCCCGAUUCACUGCUAUCUCCCGAAUCAGCAACUUGAC